rnacentral:lncRNA from 1 species
CCCUGUCAGACUUCAUCAGCAGUCUUGUGAAGGCAGAAUGAAAUCACUUCUAUUGACCCACUGGCAUAUUUAUAGGCUCCUUCUUUUUUGCUGAGUAUGGCAGUUAUCACCUUUCCAUCCCCAUGUUGUGUUUAUUCAGCAGAAAGCUAAAUCACAUCUGUGCACAAGUGGAACAUUAAUCAGUAAACACUGAUCAGCACCAUCUAGAGAACAUCAAAUGGAUUAAAACAGGACAAAAGAUUGGACUUGCCCUUGAAUGACACUAUUUCAAGUGAUUUUCAAGCUUCAUUUCUGUUUGUAAAAAGCUUUAGAUAUUUCCUUAUAAAGGUAAGCUAGAAAUCUAAGAUAAGCCUUUAUUUAUGACAUCUGAAAUUCUUUCAAAUACAAUAGCCUAGUAAGUAUGAAUUAACA